AAAUUAGUGAGUUACUCUAUGCUGCAUUGGUAGUAUGCCUUGAAGUCUUUCUUUCUGAGCUGAUAUCCUAUGCCAGAGGGUUCAUAAUUGUCAUUUUGCGCAGACACAAUCAGAGCGUUCACACAUCUGUAGCUCUUAUGGUUCUAGCAGAAACUUUUGUGAGUGCAGAACCACCCAGAAUAUCCUGGCCCUGGUUUCUACCUUCCCAUCUUUAUCUAAUCACUCUAUUAUCUUAUAAGGCUGCAUUGCAUGUUAUAUAGUUAUAACUGGUUGCUGGUAAACAUCAAUCUCUUCAUUUCUCUGUAUUUUCCAUCUUUUGCGCCCUUUGUCCGUAUAAAACCUUCUUCCAUUUUGUUCAGGUUGAAAUGGUCUGC
rnacentral:lncRNA from 1 species